rnacentral:rRNA from 1 species
UAAGCGGAGGAAAAGAAACUAACAAGGAUUCCCCUAGUAACUGCGAGUGAAGCGGNAAAAGCUCAAAUUUAAAAUCUGGUGGUCUUUGGCCGUNCGAGUUGUAAUUUAGAGAAGCGUCUUCCGCGCUGGACCGUGCACAAGUCUCCUGGAACGGAGCGUCGUAGAGGGUGAGAAUCCCGUCUUUGGCAUGGACACACCAGGGCUUUUGCGAUGCGCUCUCGAAGAGUCGAGUUGUUUGGGAAUGCAGCUCAAAAUGGGUGGUGAACUCCAUCUAAAGCUAAAUAUUGGCGAGAGACCGAUAGCGAACAAGUACCGUGAGGGAAAGAUGAAAAGCACUUUGGAAAGAGAGUGAAACAGUACGUGAAAUUGUUGAAAGGGAAACGCUUGAAGUCAGUCGCGUCGUCCGAGACUCAGCCUCGCCUCGGCUUGGCGUACUUCUCGGCCCGACGGGUCAGCAUCAAUUUCGCCUCUCGGAUAAUGGCGAGGGAAAAGUGACACCUUUACGGUGUGUUAUAGUCUCUCGUCGCAUGCGAGGGUCGGGAUUGAGGAACUCAGCACGCGCCCUCGGGCGUCGGGGCCUUCGCCCACGAUACGUGCUUAGGAUGUUGGCGUAAUGGCUUUAAACGACC